AUACGGAGGAUCCAAGCGUUAUCCGGAUUUAUUGGGUUUAAAGGGUGCGCAGGCGGAAGAUUAAGUCGGCGGUGAAAUUUUGCAGCUCAACUGUAAAAGUGCCAUCGAUACUGGUUUUCUUGAGUGUGGAUGAAGUAGGCGGAAUUUGUGGUGUAGCGGUGAAAUGCAUAGAUAUCACGAGGAACUCCGAUUGCGCAGGCAGCUUACUAGGCCAUAGCUGACGCUCAGGCACGAAGGCGUGGGGAUCAAACAGGAUUAGAUAUCCUGGUAGUCCACGCAGUAAACGAUGAUUACUAGCUGUUUGCGAUACAAUGUAAGCGGCUGAGCGAAAGCGUUAAGUAAUCCACCUGGGGAGUACGUUCGCAAGAAUGAAACUCAAAUGAAUUGGCGGGG
rnacentral:rRNA from 1 species